UCACUUUAUUUACAUAUAUGACAUACAAGGAGAGCCAUAACAAUUUCCUUGUCGAAAUAACUUGUAAACACAUUAUAUCUUUAUUAUAUUAUUUGGAUCUCAUCUCAGACUAUAAAGCUUUACUACAUAGUACAACCACCAGGUCCGCCAUAAUAAAACAUUUACUACAUAGUACAACCACCAGGUCCGCCAUAAUAAAACAUUUCGUCUACAGAUAGAACGGCUCCAUAGCAUUUUUUGUGGGAGAUAGAAGCAAAAAGGCCCCCGGGCCAUGGAUCAAUUUUGUAGCCUCUACCAGUGUCAUCAACAAAUCUAACAUCUCGAACA
rnacentral:lncRNA from 1 species